rnacentral:rRNA from 1 species
AACGAACGCUGGCGGCGCGCCUAAUACAUGCAAGUCGAACGAGAAGCUGUAGCAAUACAGUUGUGCAGUGGCGAACGGGUGAGGAAUAUAUGGGUGACCUACCCUCGAGUGGGGAAUAACCAGCCGAAAGGUUGGCUAAUACCGCGUACGCUUCCCAGUCUACGGGUUGGAAGGAAAGCGAUGCCGUGGGUAUCGCGCUCAAGGUUGGGCUCAUGUCCUAUCAGCUGUUGGUGGGGUAACGGCUCACCAAGGCAACGACGGGUAGCUGGUCUGAGAGGACGAUCAGCCACACUGGCACUGCGACACGGGCCAGACUCCUACGGGAGGCAGCAGUAAGGAAUAUUGCGCAAUGGGCGAAAGCCUGACGCAGCGACGCCGCGUGGGGGAUGAAGGUC